GUGAAACAAGUUCACGAUGAGUUAUAAAUAUGGUUAUCCGUGAAAUAAGUUCAUGAUGAGUUUUUUUUUUUUUGUUAUGGGUUCCUUGGAGAAGUGUUUUUCUCCAAUAUUUUUUUUUUGUUCGCGUUUGAUAUGUGUGGGGAUACCCAGAGGAAAAGACAUUGUCUCUUUAUCGCUACUAACAGUCGACUUCCGUCGGACUAACAGCUCCGUCGGUCGUCCCUACUUUCCGUCGAGAAGACUUACAUGUCGGUCAGUCCAUUUCCACAGCUUAGUUUUUUAUUACAAGAAUUUGAUUUCAGAGU
rnacentral:lncRNA from 1 species